rnacentral:lncRNA from 1 species
AGAAAGCCCGAACCCCCAGGUCUUGAGCCAUGUCCAGGGUUUCACGGUAUGUCCACACACGGGAUUUCACUGCAGCCUUGAUGGGUUGAAGCCAUCUGCGGCCCUACGAGUGCAGUGGUGCUCAUUGACGCCAGAGGAAAGGGUCACAGCCAGCGCCUUGAGUGGCCCUCCCGGCCUACUGCGGGAAACAGCCUAGAGGUGAGUGAAGUCCAUGACAAUGAGAGUAGUAACAAUAAUCCUAGCUCUGCUAGUUGAGUGUUCACUCUGUUAGGGACUGUUCUAAGGGUUCCGCAAGCAUGAUUUAAUCCUUAAAGCCACCGUAAGAGAAAGAUACUGUU